rnacentral:rRNA from 1 species
CCUACGGGUGGCAGCAGUAGGGAAUAUUGCUCAAUGGGGGAAACCCUGAAGCAGCAACGCCGCGUGGAGGAUGAAGGUUUUCGGAUUGUAAAAUCCUUUUGUUAGAGAAGAUAAUGACGGUAUCUAACGAAUAAGCACCGGCUAACUCCGUGCCAGCAGCCGCGGUAAUACGGAGGGUGCAAGCGUUACUCGGAAUCACUGGGCGGAAAGAGCGCGUAGGCGGGAUAGCAAGUCAGAUGUGAAAUCCUAUGGCUUAACCAUAGAACUGCAUUUGAAACUGUUAUUCUAGAGUAUGGGAGAGGUAGGUGGAAUGCUUGGUGUAGGGGUAAAAUCCGUAGAGAUCAAGAGGAAUACUCAUUGCGAAGGCGACCUGCUAGAACAUAACUGACGCUGAUGCGCGAAAGCGUGGGGAGCAAACAGGAUUAGAUACCCCAGUAGUC